GGAGCUAUUAUUGAACCUGCUAAAUGCCGAUUGAUGAGUUUGGAUGAAAAGCGAGAACUUGUUCUUGAGUUAUCGAAGAGGCCACAAAGUGCUCCUGAGAAACUACAGUCAUGGAGUCGCCGUGAUAUUCUAGAGAUUCUUUGUGCCGAUCUAGGAAGGGAAAGGAAAUAUACUGGAUUAUCUAAGCAGAGAAUGCUGGAUUAUCUCUUCAGGGCGGUAACUACUGGCAAAUCAUCUGGCCCUGUGGUGCAUGUGCAAGAAAAGGAGCCAACUCUCGACCCCAACGCAAGUAACCAUCAGUACCCUGCGAAACAUCAAAGGAAGAGUGACAAUUCGUCAGUCAACAAUCCGCUAACCGCUGUUGUACUCGUGCCAAUAAAUAAUGUGCGGUCCUGCCGGAAUAUGGCAUGCAGAGCAAUUCUUAACAUGGGAGAUAAAUUUUGCAGACGCUGUUCAUGCUGCAUAUGUUUCCAGUACGAUGACAACAAGGACCCUACCAUAUGGUUGUUCUGUCGUUCAGAAUAUCCCAUGCAAAAAGAUUCUUGCGGGUUAUCAUGCCAUCUUGAGUGUGCUCUCAAGGAUGGAAGAACCGGAAUUCUGCCGAGUGGGCAGUGCAAGAAACUUGAUGGUGCUUAUUACUGCCCUCACUGUCGGAAGCAGCAUGAUUUGCUCCGGUCCUGGAAAACACAACUAGUGUUAGCUAAAGAGGCUCGGCGGCUCGAUACAUUGUGUUGCCGGAUUUUUCUGAGUCAUAGGAUCCUCUUCUCCACGGAGAAGUAUUCGGUCUUGCAUAAAUUUGUUGACACAGCGAAGCAGAAACUGGAGGCUGAAUUUGGAUCUGUACGCGGGUAUGGACAUAUGGGUCGUGGAAGUGUCAGUCAGCUUACUUGUGGUGCUAAAGUCCAGGAACUUUGUGCUCAAGCACUUGAUGUCAUGGAGUCUAAGUUCUCUGUUGAAUCUCGUACUAACUCACAAUUUGAACGAUCCAAUAUGAUGCCAUCAAGCUUCGUAAAGUUUGAACCUAUAACGCCUACAUCUAUCACUAUAGUUUUUGAUUUCGGUCGAUGUCCUUUGCUCGCCCAAGGGGUAACUGGCUUUAAACUAUGGCACCAGGUGGAUGGUCCAGGAUUUUACUCGGCAAAUCCAACUGGCAUCAUACAUGCAACGUCAAAAACAUUUGUUGUCACUGAACUCAAGCCAGCUACAUGCUAUAUGUUUAAGAUAACUGCAUUCAGCAACUCCAGUGAGUUUAGGCCAUGGGAAUUCAGGGCAAGUACAAGCUCUCCGAAAGAAAGUGAUCUUAAGGGUUCGGUUCCAGGUGGUGCUGGAGUAGUAGACCAAAAUAACAGGAGCCUAAAGACAAAUAGUGGUGGUCAAUCUGAUCGUUCUUCAGAAGGUGUGGACUCAAACAAUAAUGGAACGGUGUGUACUGAUCUUAACAGGUCAAUGGAAAGUGACUUUGAGUACUGUGAAAAUCCCGAGAUCCUUGAUUCAAACA
rnacentral:rRNA from 1 species